GCCAGACUCCUACGGGAGGCAGCAGUGGGGGAUAUUGCACAAUGGGGGGAACCCUGAUGCAGCGACGCCGCGUGGGUGAAGGAGUAUUUCGGUAUGUAAAGCCCUAUCGGCAGGGAAGAAGCAAGACGGUACCUGACUAAGAAGCCCCGGCUAACUACGUGCCAGCAGCCGCGGUAAUACGUAGGGGGCGAGCGUUAUCCGGAUUCACUGGGUGUAAAGGGAGCGUAGACGGCCAUGCAAGCCAGGGGUGAAAGCCCGGGGCCCAACCCCGGGACUGCCCUUGGAACUGUGCGGCUAGAGUGCGGGAGGGGCAGGCGGAAUUCCUGGUGUAGCGGUGAAAUGCGUAGAUAUCAGGAGGAACACCGGUGGCGAAGGCGGCCUGCUGGACUGCAACUGACGUUGAGGCCCGAAAGCGUGGGGAGCAAACAGGAUUAGAUACCCCAGUAC
rnacentral:rRNA from 1 species